rnacentral:rRNA from 1 species
CUACGGGAGGCAGCAGUGGGGAAUAUUGGACAAUGGGCGAAAGCCCGAUCCAGCAAUACCGCGUGUGUGAAGAAGGCCUGAGGGUUGUAAAGCACUUUCAAUAGGAAGGAAUACCUAUCGGUUAAUACCCGGUAGACUGACAUUACCUAUACAAGAAGCACCGGCUAACUCCGUGCCAGCAGCCGCGGUAAUACGGAGGGUGCAAGCGUUAAUCGGAAUUACUGGGCGUAAAGCGUGCGUAGGCGGUUAUUUAAGUCAGAUGUGAAAGCCCUGGGCUUAACCUGGGAACUGCAUUUGAUACUGGAUGACUAGAGUUGAGUAGAGGAGAGUGGAAUUUCAGGUGUAGCGGUGAAAUGCGUAGAGAUCUGAAGGAACACCAGUGGCGAAGGCGGCUCUCUGGACUCAAACUGACGCUGAGGUACGAAAGCGUGGGUAGCAAACAGGAUUAGAUACCCUAGUAGUC